rnacentral:rRNA from 1 species
UACAGAGGUCUCAAGCGUUGUUCGGAUUCAUUGGGCGUAAAGAGCUCGUAGGCGGUGUGUCGCGUCGGCCGUGAAAACCUGGGGCUUAACUCUGGGCGUGCGGUCGAUACGGGCAUCACUAGAGUUCGGCAGGGGAGACUGGAAUUCCUGGUGUAGCGGUGAAAUGCGCAGAUAUCAGGAGGAACACCGAUGGCGAAGGCAGGUCUCUGGGCCACUACUGACGCUGAGAAGCGAAAGCGUGGGGAGCGAACAGG